rnacentral:ncRNA from 2 species
GGACAGGACUCUGGAGAGACUCCUCACAAGGGAGCACCGAAGGGGCAAUACGCAAGGCAUGGCUGUCGUCCAUGAAUUGCGUGCAAACUCUCAGGUAAAAGGACAGAGAUCGCAGG